CCCCCUCGCUGGCUCACUCGCUUCACUCACUCAUUCCCCACUCGCUCUCGUCCAAAUCCCUAGCUCGCCUCGCUCCACUGCUCGCGUCGUUGCCGCUCGCCUCUCUCUCGCCUGCAUCGCCACCGUCAUCUCGCCCGCGUCGACGUCGACGCUCGCCUCCAUCCCACACGUGUCGCUGCCGCCUCCUUCCUAUGACGUCUUCGCCGCUCCUUCUCACCCGCGUCACCUGCACCAGCGAGGUCGUAACAAGAUUGUUUUUGUUACCAAAGUGGAGGCGAGGAGCAGCUGGAGAGUUGUGCCGGUGGCUGGGUCUGUAGUGGCUGGACGUCCCCGCCAUGAGGAUGAGUGGGAGCAGCAAGAGCACAUCUGGAGAUGGGGAGGAUUGGACGCGGCAGUUCUGAAUUUGAAGAUGGUGCCGUGAGGAGGACCGGGAGGAGCAGUCGCCGACGGCCUCGCUGAAUGGGGUAUGCUUUCCCCUUCGUCUCCUAUGGCAUCGUGGACAUCCUGCUCGAUGACGAACAUCUGCUCGAGGACAUCCUACUCGAUGAUGCUCCUCUUCACCUCACCAAUGGCAGGGGCCUGAGGCAGGGUGACCUGGCUUCCCCCUUCUCUUUAACUUCAUGGUUGACUCCCUUUCCCACAUCCUGACCCGGGCUGCGGCUGCUGGCCAUACUACCCCUUUCAGCUCCCAUCUUGCUCCUAAUGACAUUUCCCACCUCCGAUACGCGGAUGAUACCAUCAUUAUGGUGGAGCUUAACGAUGAAAGUGUGGCCCAGUUGAAAUUCCUUCUCCUUUGCUUCAAAGCUCUCUUUGGACUCAAAAUUAUUUUUGCCAAGAGUGAAGUUAUUGUUACGUGGGUGUCGGAUGCUGAGGCUCUUAGAGUGGCUCAUUUAUUAAACUGUUCUCUAGGCUCUUUCCCUUUCAAAUACCUUGGCUUACCAAUCUCCCCCAACAAGUUGUUGACGAAAGAUUUCGCCUCGGCCAUUUCGAAAGUGGGCAACCAGGUGCUGCCUUGUAGAGGCCGCUAUAACACCCAAGCUAGCAAGGUUGCCUUAAUCAAUGUCUGCCCCUCCUCUCUCCCCAUGUUCUUGAUGGGCUUCUACCUCCUUUCGAGAGGGACUCAUGCUGGGUUUGACAAGCACAGGGGCGCCUUUUACUGGAAUUUGGUGGACAACAAGCAUAAAUAUAGGAUGGUGAAAUGGAAGCUUAUUUGCAGACCCAAAAGCCUUGGGGGGUUGGGCAUUAUUAACACUGCUGUCAUGAACAAAUGCCUCAUCAUUAAGUGGUGGUGGAAAAUCUUGUCCCCCACGGAGGCCCCACUGUGGCUUAGCAUUCUCAAAUCUAAAUACUUUCCUGAGUCUAGUCCCAUGUUCGUGUCGGCCUCUGCCGGCUCCCAAUUCUGGCGUCACCUCGUCAAAGUUUGUCUGUUUUUAAGUCUCUGGUCAAAUUUGUUGUUAGGAAUGGAAAAUCUACGCGCUUUUGGUUAGACUGGUGGUGUCGGGAGGCCACCCUGGAGGUGACAUUCCCGGUUUUGUUUUCCUAUUGUCCUGACCCGGAGAUCUCAAUCUCCGAGCUCUCCGUGAAUAAUUGGGCCUUGGACCUUCAUAGGAUGCUCUCUCCCGAAGAGUUGGAAGAUUGGCAUCAUAUUACUGCUUGCUUCCCUCUGCUCUCGGAGGAGGAGGACUCGGUGGUCUGGCCCCACUCUACCUCUGGCCGUUUUUUGGUCAAAUCCUUGUACACCAAACUGAUUUCAGGCUCUCCUACUUCCAAGUUCAAGUGCAUAUGGAGUGCCCGCGUCCCACCUAAGAUCAAAAUUUUCCUGUGGCAAGCUUAUCAUGGGAAGCUUCCUGCAGCGGACCAAAUCCGGAAAAGGAACGGCCCGAGUUCGAAUAGAUGUGCCUUGUGUGGGGAUCUUGAAAACACGGAUCACAUUUUCUUCUGGUGCUCCUUGGCUAAAUUUGUUUGGUGCUGCAUCCGCUCCUGGCUCCAGGUGUCGUGGGACCCCUCUUCUUUCGAGGAUCUUAGGGGUUUGGUCAACGGUUUAUCUGGGAAUUCAAAAAGGAUCUCCUAGGUUGGGUUUGCAGCGAUUUGUUGGUCACUGUGGACCACUAGAAACAAGUUUACCAUAGAGCAUAUCUUCCCAGCUAAUCCUGAUGAUUGCUUAUUCAAAACUGGAAUAUUCUUGCAGCAGUGGAGAUCAUUGACUAGGGAUACUGAUCAGUAGGCCUUCGAUGCUAUGGCGUCCAAUAUUAGGGCUAUGGUUUCGUACUUGGUGCGCAGUCAACGCGAAGAUUCUUAAACCCUGAUGUCUCCCUUUAGUCUUAUUCUGGCCCGCGUGCCAUAUCUGACUGGUUAGCCAUGUACCUGAACUCCUUUUCUUUGUCUACCUUGUUCCUAUGGUUGGUUGGAUGUUGGUUGUGCUACUCUGCCUGGUGGCUUUGUUUAUAAAGUCGGGCGUACGCCUUUUAUCUUAAAAAAUGCUCCUCUUCACCAGCAUCUCCAAUGCAUGGUGAGCUUCCCCUGUCUCCACCCUUUACUCAUGGUUGCCUCUGUGUUUUGGUUUAGAUUUGCAGCACUUCUUGGGUACAUAUUAGGAGUAGGGUACAGUUUAUUUGUAUGCGUAUGGGCACGGAUUAGGAGUAGGACAUGUAGUUGUAGUCACAGUUUUAGUAAAUUUCAGUAAACACAAUGUGAGUGUUUUACUCAAGUAAUCUUGCUUGAAGUAAAUUUUAGUAACUUCAGUAAUCUUGCUUGAAGUACUCUGAAAAUAUGAAAAUAUACUCAGAAAAUGUAUUGCUUGUACGGGUGAUCUUGCAGAUAGGAGGAGAGUUCUUUUACUCAGAGCAGGUGUUGAUCUACAGCAAUUCUAGGAGUAGGAUUUAGGAUAAUCAUAGUUUCAGUUUGCCAAGCAGGGAAUAUAGUUUAACUGGAAAUCAACCAACUAUUGGUUUGAACUGGAAGUCAACCUCUGUACUGAUGUUAGAUUGAUUGACUGAAACUAAAACUAAAAUCCAUCAAAUUCUUAAUCUGAGCAAUGUUAGAUUGAUUAUUCAAUAUCUGCAAUCCAUCAAAUUCUUCAAGAUCUGCUAUGCAUUUGUAACUGAACUAUGCAUUUAGCUGAAACAGUGUCCUCUGUAGUGAUGUUGCUAAAACAAUUCCUUCAUUUACCUAAUCACUAUGUAGUGAUGUUUUUGUAAAUUGUAUACUCCUUCAUACUGAAGGCAAUGGUGCUGAAACAUCAUACUCCAUUUAGCUGAAACAAUGACUGUCAACAAUCUCCAUUUACCUGAAACAAUGACGGUCAACAUACUCCAUUUACCAGCGGCUCGAUGGUUGUGGGCCAGAUCUAAUGGCUUGCAAAAGGGAUUGUUCAAAUUAGUAAAAAGUAAUAUUGAAGCCAAAUUACUCAAAACCAAUAUUGGACUUCCAUAUACCUGGACCUUCUUUGGGGAGUCUAUUAACAUUGGUGAUAUCACCAAGAGGGUAUUUGAGGCCAUUUUUCACAUCCAUUUGUCGCUGUCGGUGUUCCUGUUGUUUCUUCUUCUGGUAAGAUUCUGGUCUCUAUCUAUUCAACUUAUGAUUUGUUCUUGGUACUGUUCCUCUUCUUUUUCUGUUGUUUUUGUAAGCUGCUCUUCCAUGCAUUUAUGACAUCCCUUUCUUCCGUUGAUAAGGUCCCUUUAUGUUGGCCAUCACGGCCCCUCGUAGUUGGACCUGUUAUUGCAGGUCUAUACAUAUUAGCAUCCGAACCAGGACAAUCAAGUUCAAUGAUCUCACCGUUGAUUGGACCUAGAACAGUAAUAGUAUUUACCGCUACAACCAUGAACCAUCAGGGCUGCAAUAAAAUCACAAUUUGGACCGUGAGAUGGAUUACAUUUGUCGCUACAAUAUUUUUAGAAAUUCAAAGGAGGUGUGAGUUCGGAAGUUAUACCUAGACUUCCUCUGGGGAGUUCUAUGGUUGAUGAAGUGGGGAUUGUUGCUUCAGGUAUAAUCAGGCCGCUCGAUGGUUGUCGGUAGAUGCAAUGGCUUGCAAAAGAGAUUUUUCAAAUCAGUAAUCACCAAUAUUGAAAGGCAUUUAAAUAUUGCUAAUGAGCUAUACCUAGACUCCCAUUGGGGAGUUCCAUGGUCGAGGGAGAUGGGAUUGUUGCUUCUUGAAUAAACAAGCCGCUCGAUGGUUGUGGGUCCGGUCCCAUGGCUUGCGAAAGGGAAUGAUCAAAUUAGUAAAAAAACAAUAUUGAAGCCAAAUUACCAAAAAACAAUUAUUUAUCAAAUUCCAUAUACCCGUACCCUCUUUGGGGAGUCUAUCAACAUUGGUGAUAUCACCAAGAGGGUGUUGGAGCCCAUUUGUCACAUCCAUUUGUCGUUGUCGGUGUCGCUUAGCAAGUGUCACCGUUUCCCAACGAGAACUGAACCGGGCCAAGUCGUUUGAGGACAUCACUGUCAUGGACACUUGUCAUUGGAAAAACAGAUCAACAACUAUCAUCUACUAUAUUUAACCUACUUUAAUCUAUAGUGAAUAGAAGUAAAGCGUGUCCUGAAUUCGAUGAGGUCAUGUAACAUCUGAACAAAGGUAUAGAAGGAAGAGGGAUGGCGAUGAUGAUGUCAAGGAUGUAAUAUCUUGGCAUGUUUGUUACAAUAAUGCUUCUCUAGUUUUUCUGUCCAAUAACCAGCAUUGCCAUCUAAUGCAUUGCUUGCUACAGGUUCCGUAAAAUGGCAGUGGUUAGAGUUCUUCAAAUUAUGUAUAUAGUGGGUGUUUUAUGGGAAACAUAAUUUGAGAACUACUGUCUACUCGAGCCACCCCAGCCUAAUGGUGCCUGCCACGCCUCAUACAUCCGCCAUUUAUACAAGAUUCCACAGUUGACCCCAAGCCCGCGGGAUGAGUAGCCAAGGCACCAAGCUAGCAUUGUCCAGCCUCUUGUCCUACCUAAAGGAAGUUGGAUGCCUCUAGCGUGAGGCCAUGUACAAACUGGAAGAACGGUUGGGGCCAUGCACGAAUCGGACCAACAGUUGGGGCUAUGUCAUACCUCCAAUCGGAGGAGCUAAAGUUAAUGACCUGUGGCUCGCAGCCGCAACGUCACCUAUGGCUUGCAGUCGGAUGGCAAACCUUGAAGAAACAUGCCUCGUUCACCUGCUCCGAUGGAAAUCUUGGAAGCGUGGAGAGGCCUCGCCGCCCCGCUCAGUAGAAACAAUUUGAAAAUUAUUUGUUGUUGUAUAUGGAAGAUGUGAGAUGGAAAUAGUAUGAUUGAUCGGUUUAUGUUUGGGCAUCGGAGGUGUGACAUGGAAAGACAAAAGUAUUCAUUGCUAUACGAUUGUUGUUGUUUAUGGAAGCU